UGGGGAAUAUUGGACAAUGGGCGAAAGCCUGAUCCAGCCAUGCCGCGUGUGUGAAGAAGGUCUUCGGAUUGUAAAGCUCUUUAAGUUGAGAGGAAGGGCAGUAAGCGAAUACCUUGCUGUUUUGACGUUACCGACAGAAUAAGCACCGGCUAACUCUGUGCCAGCAGCCGCGGUAAUACAGUGGGUGCAAGCGUUAAUCGGAAUUACUGGGCGUAAAGCGCGCGUAGGUGGUUCGUUAAGUUGAAUGUGAAAGCCCCGGGCUCAACCUGGGAAAUGCAUCCAAAACUGGCGAGCUAGAGUAGGGCAGAGGGUGGUGGAAUUUCCUGUGUAGCGGUGAAAUGCGUAGAUAUAGGAAGGAACACCAGUGGCGAAGGCGACCACCUGGGCUCAUACUGACACUGAGGUGCGAAAGCGUGGGGAGCAAACAGG
rnacentral:rRNA from 1 species